rnacentral:rRNA from 1 species
UACGGGGGGGGCAAGCGUUGUUCGGAAUUACUGGGCGUAAAGGGUCCGUAGGUGGCCAACUAAGUCAGACGUGAAAUCCCUCAGCUUAACUGGGGAACUGCGUCUGAGACUGAUUGGCUUGAGGACAGGAGAGGAGCGCGGAAUUCCAGGUGUAGCGGUGAAAUGCGUAGAUAUCUGGAGGAACACCGAUGGCGAAGGCGGCGUUCUGGACUGUUUCUGACGCUGAAGGACGAAAGCGAGGGGAGCAAACGGG